GGAUGUAAGGGCGAUCUGGCUGUGACAUCUGCCACCCCCUUAAUUGCAGCAGUGCUUCGGUUCAUCUUCCUGUCUCCUUCCUCCCUCACCCUGCCAUGUGUGUCCCUCCUGAUGCUGUGUGCUCUGGUGGGAGAGGAUAAUCACCCUGAUACAGGAGGACCAUUUCCUUGGUCAAACGUAUAUGAGUAGCUUUGUUCAGCUGCUAGAACCUUCAAAACUGUAUACAUAUCAAUAUGUGCAGUGAUCUAUAUACUUAAAAUUGAUUAUUUAUACAGAUCUAACAACAUAAAAUGUGUUUGAUAGUACAU
ensembl:misc_RNA 7SK 7SK RNA